rnacentral:rRNA from 1 species
AACGUAGGAGACAACCGUUAUCCGGAGUUACUGGGCGUAAAGGGCGUGUAGGUGGUUUUGUAAGUCUGGCGUGAAAUUUUUCGGCUUAACCGGGAAAGGUCGUCGGAUACUGCAAGGCUAGAGGACGGUAGAGGCGUGUGGAAUUCCGGGUGUAGUGGUGAAAUGCGUAGAGAUCCGGAGGAACACCAGUGGCGAAGGCGACACGCUGGGCCGUACCUGACACUGAUGCGCGACAGCAUGGGGAGCAAACAGG